rnacentral:lncRNA from 1 species
UUAGAAUCCUACGAUAUUCACUACUUGCUUGUUAAUGUUAACACUAGUAUCAACAUGUAAAUGAUAAAGUCCAUCAAUCAAAAAGGCAUAUGCAACAAUUUUAUUUCCAAAAUAAAUUAUAUAUAAUUUUUUAUUGAAAUAAAAAUUAUAAUUAUCUUAUGCUAGCACAGAUACGAAAUCAAAUUUCUACAGACUAUAGGUAUAUAAUAAUAAUUUUUCAAAAGCAAACUAAAUUCCAACGAUAGUCACAGAGAAUAGGUUCCAACAGCCACAGCAACAACUCUUGCCCUAUUGCUGACUCGAAGAGUGAUUUCACCUUCUCUCAGCCCUCUAACUUCCUUUAGACCCUACAUAGAAGUGCACAAGGGAGCGCUCGAACCAGAAUCUAAAACUCAACUAAAAGAAGAGGAAACC